rnacentral:lncRNA from 1 species
UAGGAUAGAAAUAAUUGAUGAGAAUACGGCAACUGUUGUCGGCGGUUCGAAUUAAUCUGGAGUGCCCCAGCCACUAUCCAUAACUCUCCUAGACCAUGGUAUUUUCUCGUUUGGUUGUGGGUCGGAGCCGAGUGGCAGCUGCGCGGAAACUGUCUUUCACCGAUCGACCAUUCUACUCAAACGGAUACGAAAAGCCACCAGAGGAUUCACUACCUGGCGCAUGCGCCAACGGCCCACUUUCUCGAUCGGAGGCCAAUCGGAGCCGCGCGGAAACGUCUAUCAUCCACCAUUUUAUACUUAUUAAAUAAUUUCGAUUAUUUAGUAAAUAACCGAAAUUAUUUUAUUAUUAGAGAAAGCCACUGACUAAGGCAGAUGGUUUUUUACGCUUUUUCAAUCGGGGAGAUGAUUAAGGGGCGGGGGCCAGUUCCGACCACGCCCCGCACCCACACCCUUGGAGGGGAUCGGACGGUGAAAGACGGGGAUGGUCGGGGCCAGCCCAGCACUUUUCGGGAGAUGCCGGAUCUGGGACGCCAACCGGAGUCCUCCCGCCUGGCAGGCCAACGCGUUACCACUCGGCCAUCCGGGAGACGGGAUGGAAUUUUUGGUCACCAACCUAAUACUCGACUUAAGCGUUAACACACGGGAUAUACACCGACUGUAAGAAGAAUCCAUGGGAUAACGGUACGGGUGCCGGCGAAAACAGGCCGAUAAAAUCGGGCCAGAUUGGUCGCAUGGAAAUGCUUCGGCUUCCCAUCUGGAGGAUCCAGGUUCGAGUCUCGGGUCUCACCCCUCGAAAAUAUUUAUCACGGAAUCCGGUCGAUCCCUCCG